rnacentral:rRNA from 1 species
AUUGAACGCUGGCGGCAGGCCUAACACAUGCAAGUCGAACGAGUGGCGGACGGGUGAGUAAUGUCUGGGAAACUGCCCGAUGGAGGGGGAUAACUACUGGAAACGGUAGCUAAUACCGCAUACCAUCGGAUGUGCCCAGAUGGGAUUAGCUAGUGGGUGGGGUAACGGCUCACCUAGGCGACGAUCCCUAGCUGGUCUGAGAGGAUGACCGGCACACCGGGACCUGAGAAAGGUUCCAGCCUCCAACGGAGGGCAGCAGUGGGGAAUAUUGAACAAUGGGCGCAAGCCUGAGGCGGCCAGGCCGGGUGUAUGAAGAGGGCCUUCGGGUUGAAAAGUACUUUCAGCGAGGAGGCGUUACUCGCAGAAGAAGCACCGGCAAACUCCGUGCCAGCAGCCGCGGAAUUC